rnacentral:rRNA from 1 species
UCGAGCGAGCUUGCCUAGAUGAAUUUGGUGCUUGCACCGGAUGAAACUAGAUACAAGCGAGCGGCGGACGGGUGAGUAACACGUGGGUAACCUGCCCAAGAGACUGGGAUAACACCUGGAAACAGAUGCUAAUACCGGAUAACAACACUAGACGCAUGUCUAGAGUUUAAAAGAUGGUUCUGCUAUCACUCUUGGAUGGACCUGCGGUGCAUUAGCUAGUUGGUAAGGUAACGGCUUACCAAGGCAAUGAUGCAUAGCCGAGUUGAGAGACUGAUCGGCCACAUUGGGACUGAGACACGGCCCAAACUCCUACGGGAGGCAGCAGUAGGGAAUCUUCCACAAUGGACGCAAGUCUGAUGGAGCAACGCCGCGUAAGUGAAGAAGGGUUUCGGCUCGUAAAGCUCUGUUGGUAGUGAAGAAAGAUAGAGGUAGUAACUGGCCUUUAUUUGACGGUAAUUACUUAGAAAGUCACGGCUAACUACGUGCCAGCAGCCGCGGUAAUACGUAGGUGGCAAGCGUUGUCCGGAUUUAUUGGGCGUAAAGCGAGUGCAGGCGGUUCAAUAAGUCUGAUGUGAAAGCCUUCGGCUCAACCGGAGAAUUGCAUCAGAAACUGUUGAACUUGAGUGCAGAAGAGGAGAGUGGAACUCCAUGUGUAGCGGUGGAAUGCGUAGAUAUAUGGAAGAACACCAGUGGCGAAGGCGGCUCUCUGGUCUGCAACUGACGCUGAGGCUCGAAGCAUGGGUAGCGAACAGG